ensembl:lncRNA
AUGUUAAUCAGGAAGACAUUAGCACACUCUCACACAUACACACUCAAAGAAUGUGGGUUAUUAAACAUAACCUUUAAAAUCACUCACGUCUCAUCAUUAGACCUGAUGUCAUUCACAGUGCUGAAGUCAAUUACUCUUUUCUUGCAGGGGGUCCCAGGUGGUGAUAGCAGGUUGCAGCCUGGUCCUCAGGGGCCUCCUGGACCACCAGGCCCUCCAGGUCCCCCAGGGGCCCAAGGGUUUACAGGAAUCCAAGGCCCACAGCCUCCUGUUUUGCUGCCUCAGGAUUCAGCUUCCACGGGCAAGGAGGGCUGUGGCGAAUGCUCCAAGGGCCUACCAGGUGUGCCCGGCGUGGUUGGUGCUAAGGGCGAGAAGGGAGAUCAGGGCAAGCCUGGCGUUGAACACUUAGAUAGAUGCGAACGGUGUUUAGAGAAGCUGCAGAGAGAAGAAACACCAAGUAGGCCUGUAAGUCUGUGGACCGAAUGA